AGAAAAUGCGUACUGUGCCGAAAUACGUACACCGCAGCAGUGGGUGGUGGGCCAUGUUGACGGAGUAGAACAGAAAAUUUUAACGCGAAGGUGGACGGCAUCCACUGUCGGCGAGGUGGGCUGCGGAUCGGAAUUCGGCGCACCCGUCUGAUCCGUGGCUCAGAUGGGGAGCGCCCCCCAGUGCGAGCGUCAUGGAGAGCCGGCGGCGAGGGAGCAUCAAGUUUUUGAUGCAGCCAGCCGACAGAUCCACUUUUAUUGAGGAAGUAGGGGAGAGCUUGGUGCCGCCCCCUGUGGUAUACGGGCGGAGCUGGAGGUGACACGGUAGCAUCUGACCGUGGCCAGCGGCGAAGCACAGAUCGUCGCUGUGAUGGCCAGAUGGGAGAGCUCUCCUCCGACCUUGGAGUUGUCAGUGGGCAAGAUGAGUCCGCAAGCGCCCGUAUGGAAUAAGCGGCCGAGGAUUGGUGCUGCAGCACCCAGGAGGCGCCGUGAUCAAAUCGUAUUAGUGCCUUGGGAAAGCUUGUCAGGUGUUCUGCAGAAAUCCCAGCUGAAAAUGUAAUCACUGAACUACAUUCGACUCGCUGGGUGAGGCGAACAAUUUGUACAAUCUAUAAUUCCUGGGAGAAGGGCUUUGGCUUCAGAUAGUGGAAGAGCCGUGCAGGAAAUAGCGUGCGGGUGCUCAAACCACCGUGCUAGAGGAGGUUAACGACAUCGACGUUCCAAUGGAGCCGCUCCACUACCCAGUGGUCGCAACCGUUGCAGAUCAGCUGCCACCCAUGGCAGGAGUGAGUGUGGAUGGCUGGAUGCGAAGGGUGAGGACAAACAGGAGUGAACGUCAGUAACUUAGUUUGCUGAUUCUGAGAGCUCAAGAUUUUGAAGAUCAUUAUGUUAUGAGAGCUCAAUAUAUUGAUAUCCGAAACAAAUACCCACGAUGCAGAAGAGAUGUAUUUCCAUGCUGGAGAUGGAGAGCAUUGGUCAGAGCGUAGAAUCUACUGCUACAGUUGCGCUGGAAGAUGAUGCCAAUAGCAGUUUCACGGGAUGCAAAGGAGUUGGUUUCCGGCAGUAUAGAUAGUUACAGUACACCAAGGAAGAGAAGUAGCAUGCCAAUCCAUAUUUACACAGCCUAAGGGGAGUGAUGGUAAUACCAGUAUGGAAGCGUUUUACUUGUGCAUGGAAAGGAUGGAGGGAGGAGAAAACUGUAUUGAACGAUCAUGUGAAGAAGUCGAGGAAGAAAGUAAAGCUAACUAGUUGUGGUUGUGAGGCCAUGAUUAGCUUGAGGAGAAGAGAUGAUGGAAAUUAUGAGGUCCUCCGAUUCGUCUGUCAGCACACGCAUCAACUUGUCUCUACGAAUAAGAAACAAUUCACUAGAACUAACAGGGAAGUCAGUAGUGAAUUGAGGAGCACAUUCUUGACAUGUCACAGCAUUGAUGAGCCCUUGCCAAAAAAAUUGGCGUACACUAAUUGGGACCAGGAGAGGUACCCAGAGAAAUUGGUGUCAGACAGAGGUGGGAACUUGAGCCCCCAAUCAUCCUUGCUCAUUGGUCAACCAUCAUAAUAUUCAUUGAAGCAUUUGAACAAAGCAGUCUGGUGCUUCCGUGCAAUGGCCAUAUCCCGCGCCUUGCCAUGGUGCUGGAAUGCAUUUGUGCUGUACCAAAGGGUCGAAAAAAUUGAUCGCUUUCGUUACCAUGCCCCAUACAAUGAUUACCCAGCCUUCUGGGCAUGGUACUGGGAUGAAGAACUGUUGUCCAAACAAAACCAUAACUGGUUAAUGCAGGUCAAAGGGAUGAAUCUGGGGCCUGUGUCAUCCAUAUAGCCCGACACUUUGACGGGGGCAAGUUGAAGUUGCUGCUCGCGAAGCAUAAUGUCUCCAAAACCAAGAUGGAUACACUGCACGAGUGCAUGAAGCUCCAUGGGAAUUCUCCACAGUCUCCCAUGAUGCACUAUCUAGUCUUGGCACCAUCCGAUUCUGCAUACGACGCUUAGCAAGCCAGAUUAUGCCUGAACCACCGUAUCACUAGCCACUGCGAUUCCCAUAAUAUCUAGUUUGUUAGUUUGCAUUAUGUACCUUCAACCUUGUCACUGUUAUGUACCCUCAACCUUGUCAAUCUUAAGUUAUUUCCAUGGAUGUCUGUCUUGCUCGACCCCACCUGCUUUCAUAAUUUCAUCAUCCUAGUACUCCUUUCGAGGGGUCCAGUUUUGAUCCAUCUUCAGUGAUAUGCCUCCGAAUCAAAAGAGGACAUCAGCAAGUACAUCAUGUACUAAACGUCAUGGCCAACAGCUGAAAGAUGUAUCUCACCCAAAUUGACAAUACAUUUUCUGCACUGAUGCACAACAAAGAAUCGAAAUCAAGAAAGAAUUUGUUGCAGCUGGCGGGGACUGAGAUCUUUACUGAUGUGGACUUAAAAAAUCUGGGCAGUACCUGAUCAGGGUGGGAAGAAGAAAAAUG
rnacentral:rRNA from 1 species